UACGGAGGGGGCAAGCGUUGAUCGGAAUUACUGGGCGUAAAGGGCGUGUAGGCGGUCGGUCGCGUCAGGUGUGAAGGCCCCGGGCUCAACCUGGGAGGUGCACUUGAGACGGGCCGGCUGGAGGCCGAGAGAGGUGAGUGGAAUUCCCAGUGUAGAGGUGAAAUUCGUAGAUAUUGGGAAGAACACCAGUGGCGAAGGCGGCUCACUGGCUCGGACCUGACGCUGAGGCGCGAAAGCGUGGGGAGCAAGCAGG
rnacentral:misc_RNA from 1 species